rnacentral:lncRNA from 1 species
AGGAAUACUGGGUCAAUAAUCUCUCCAUCCCAAUUGUUUAUCAUAAUCUUUAUUUAACAUGCAUAUAUAUAUAUCUCUAUAUUUAUACUUAAAUCUUUCCCCAAAACACGAGCCACGAAAGCCACGAAACAAGAAAAUUGGAUAUAACGGAGCGUAUCGAGGAGCCGGAAGGCACGACACUCAUUUCUCUCGAGGCUUGGAGUUUUAAAUUUCUAUCGCACACACAGGGUCGACUCCUUCUCGGUUCCGGUUCUUAGCGGGUUUGCUUCUAUCGCUCGGUUCCGGUUCCGGUUUUCGGACGGGACAUUUCGACGCGUGAGCUUCGGGAAGUACGAGUCUUCUUCGAAACGUUGCUGCGUAACCUGGAAUUAGAAGGACGAGGGCUUUAUGCGGAAUAGCAUGAACUUUGCUGCCGGAACGAAGCAGGAUCUCGAGUUCUACCUUCACCUGGAAGCCUCGGCUAGGGCUGCAGACGAUGAAUUGAUCUAGAUCCAGAUAUGCUAGAUAUUUUUUUUUACCUACCUUACGAACAUAGCAUGAAUCCUUUGCUAAAUUAAAUAUCUUCCUGCAUAUUCAUUCCGCUUUUGAUGAUAUAUCGUAUAAUGUCUGAAUUUCACCUUUUUAACGGCCACUGUAUUAGCUUCAAAUACAUAGUCUUAGAUCAACCGAAGAUGUUACAAUUAUUAUUUUGUAGUUUUAGAAUAAGAGUUACUCUUACUUAAAAAUAGUUUAGAAACUUGUAAGAUUGUAAUUGUACGUGAGCACUUGAUAUGAUUUCUAAACUGAAUGUGUUAUACGUAAUAUGAUGUGUCGUACUAAUCGAUAUAUACUAUACAUACCUUUACACGGAAUUGCUGUAACAUAGUGUAACUUUUUGAUAUUUUAAAGGAUUCCUUGAG